GUACACGAGUGGCGAACGGGUGAGUAACACGUGGGUAAUCUGCCCUGCACUUCGGGAUAAGCCUGGGAAACCGGGUCUAAUACCGGAUAUUCAGUUCCUGCCGCAUGGUGGGGGUUGGAAAGUUUUUCGGUGCAGGAUGAGCCCGCGGCCUAUCAGCUUGUUGGUGGGGUAAUGGCCUACCAAGGCGACGACGGGUAGCCGGCCUGAGAGGGUGAUCGGCCACACUGGGACUGAGACACGGCCCAGACUCC
rnacentral:rRNA from 1 species